rnacentral:lncRNA from 1 species
AAAGUUCAAAGGCUCAAUACUAUUUUGUUAACAUGUCUAGGAAUCACAAAAUGCAUCAUAACUAAGAUAAAGAGUGAGCAUCAAAAACAAUUUCAAUCAAAUCCCAUCACAAAAUUGACCACUGAAGAAUCAAAAACAGAGGCCACUUAGUCAAAAAAACUCUGAAACUCCAUAAACGAAUCCCACUCUUCAGCUUUCACUAUCCUUUGUUCCUUACACAACCAAAAAGACAUUACAAUGGUGUUUAUUAGAAGUAAAGUUUCAAAAUCCAUGGAAGCCAUUGAUUCUAUAGAGGUACCUUGUAAUACUCCUCGAGUCCUCGUCCUCGAAAUGAAGAUUUGAGCAGAUGGGCUUUUGGAGGCUGGAAUCAAAGGAAGCAUCGGAUUUGAGGGGGGGGGGGGGGGUUUCGAACAUUCUCUUGGCUAUUUCGAGUUGAUUUCUCUUCGAAGUUGUGUCGUCUCCAUUUUUGUGGUUACAGUGGCCGAGCUUUUUGUUUUCACAGCGAUGGGUUUUAUGGGUUUACAUUGGUUUUGAAAUUCAAAUUGAUCUCGGUUCGGUUUACUUUGGUUUAGAGAAGAAAACCAAAAAAAAUAAGACACGCGAUGGGUUUUUGAGAAUGAGGUGCGUGGAUCCAAAAAGGCAUGAUUUUUGUGGAUUAACCCCCUUUAGAAAUCGUAGACACGCGCUCAACGCGACAUGGGUGAGACUGAGUGUGGAAUCACACGAUUGGUAAAAGUGGGGUAUGAAGUGGAGCUCUCCCAUUGGCUAAAAAACUAAAAAUAGUAGACAUGUAGCUCCUAUCCUCCUCUGAUAAAAUUUAUGCUUCUUAUUUACGAAAUUUUGCUCAACAAGAUGCGAAAGAGUAAGAGAGCAACCUGAAACCUGAGAGUUAAGGAUCUGAAAGAGAACACCUCUGAGAAAGUUCAACAGUCACGUAACUGGAUUUCUGCAAUACUUCC